GCACCCGCGGUAAUUCCAGCUCCAAUAGCGUAUAUUAAAGUUGUUGCAGUUAAAAAGCUCGUAGUUGGAUUUCUGGGAGGGUGCCGAUGUCCACUUAACGUGUGCGCAGCGGCGCCCUCUCAUCCUUCUGUUAGCGUCUCUUGGCAUUCAUUUGCUGGUGGCGGGCUCAGAUAUUUUACCUUGAGAAAAUUAGAGUGUUUCAGGCAGGCUAGGCCGAAAUACAUUAGCAUGGAAUAAUGGAAUAGGACUACGGUCUCUUUGUUGGUUUGAGGGACUGCAGUAAUGAUUAAUAGGGAUAGUUGGGGGCAUUAGUACUUAACUGUCAGAGGUGGAAUUCUCAGAUUUGUUAAAGACUGACUUAUGCGAAAGCAUUUGCCAAGGAUGUUUUCAUUGAUCAAGAACGAAAGU
rnacentral:rRNA from 1 species